GUGCCAGCCGCCGCGGUAAUACGUAGGGUGCAAGCGUUAAUCGGAAUUACUGGGCGUAAAGCGUGCGCAGGCGGUUUUGUAAGACAGUGGUGAAAUCCCCGGGCUCAACCUGGGAACUGCCAUUGUGACUGCAAGGCUAGAGUGCGGCAGAGGGGGAUGGAAUUCCGCGUGUAGCAGUGAAAUGCGUAGAUAUGCGGAGGACACCGAUGGCGAAGGCAAUCCCCUGGGCCUGCACUGACGCUCAUGCACGAAAGCGUGGGGAGCAAACAGGAUUAGA
rnacentral:rRNA from 1 species